rnacentral:misc_RNA from 1 species
AACUUUUGGCAAUGGAUCUCUUGGUUCCCGCAUCGAUGAAGAACGCAGCGAAACGCGAUAGUUAAUGUGAAUUGCAGAAUUCAGUGAAUCAUCGAGUCUUUGAACGCACAUUGCGCCUUCCGGUAUUCCGGGAGGCACGUCCGUUUGAGCGUCAGUGAACACCCUCCGGCCCGCGGUUUUUGCGAACCGCGGGCGCGGGCCCAUGGCGUGGGGAUUGCGGCCGCCUCGCUCCGGCGAGGCCCGGCCUUCCCCCGCUUAAACGCGGAGAAAAGCUAGCGGGCAUGUGCCCCCGAUCGCGACGACUCGUAGAUUUAUUUCUUGUCGGCGGGCAUCGGGAGCGACCCCGCCUUAAACCGAGGGAGAGCCCCCCGCGGGCGACCCCCCAGAAUCUUGACCUCAGAUCGGACGAGGAUACCCGCUGAACUUAAGCAUAUCAAUAAGCGGAGGCU